GUCAUUGCAUACCCAGGCUGACAGCAUUUGGAAGGGGUGAGCUGGCUGCUGGCUCUUCUUCUCUCGGUUUUGCUGAAAAGGUUUAGCAUUUGCAGACACACUCAACUUCAGCCAAACCAAGCCUGCACCCAGCAAUUCUGCCUCAACAUUCUCUUGCAUACAUUAAAGGUGGAUGCAUGUAGCACUUUGCCUCUAAUUUACUGGAAAGCUUUGAGGUGGAGCAACUAAUGGCUAAUUUUUGCUGUAGAAACUUGUGAAAAUUCAGAAAAAGGUUUGUCCUUCCCUUACCCAGCUGGGCAGGGAAGGAGAGGGGAGAGCUAAUACCAGAGAAGACAGAAUCAACGAACUUGACAGGCUUCAACAAUGAGCCAAAAACAACAAGAUGAAAUUCAACAGAGUUAAUUUAAAGUCCUGCACUUAGCACCUUGGAGAAGAACAAUGAUAAUUGUCUUUAAAUAUCUGGAUGUGUUCUCAGUUGCUCCUGAGGAUGGAACUAGAACUACUGGCUUGAAAUUACAAGGAAGCCAUUUCAGACGAGACCUUAGGAGGACAUUCCUCCCAGUAAGAGCAGUCUGGCAUUGGACCAUUCUGACUAGUGUUGUGGUAAGAAGCAGAACAGUCGCCCGUCAGAAUUACUGCAGCAGUUUCUUGCAUUAAGAAACUGGUUGGGAAAGAAAUCCUGUGACUCUCUCCUUAUGGCAGACCGGACUCCCAGUAUACAGAACAGAGCGGAACUCUUUGUGGCCGACUUCUGACCUCUGCGCAUCCUGUCCAUGUGCAUUUGAUUUUGUUUGCUGAAAUGCAGAACUUCACAUUUACCUGACGUACCUGAAGGACUCAUCUAAAUGGUGCCCGUCGCUAUUGGAAAGACCUUCCACUAAUUCGAUGAAGCCUCCAGUUUUGCAAAUGUUGCCAAAGCUGAGACAGACAACAGAUGGUCAACAUCUGUGGAAAGAUGAUUAAAGCUGGCACAACAGCAAUGCAUAGCUGAGGCCUUAUGGACCAGUGAACAGCUGGAUAUUUUGGUGGUGGUUAGAAUAGUUUGUUUUGUGAUGAUAUAGCAAUAAGUGUCUAGAUUAAACUAACAGAUAUGAUGGAGGCA